rnacentral:lncRNA from 1 species
AACACACACACACACACACACGCAGCACCAUCCGUUGCACUUUUAUUUCGACUUUGAUUCGUUCUUAGUUCCGUGUCGCCGCCGCCGUUACCGAUGACGAUGGCAAACCCUGACGCCAAUGUUAAAGUAAAAAUUACAGGAAAAA